AUGCAGUGGCCAUCCCUCAGUUCUUGCUCCCUAUCACCACCCGGAACAGUGCCUUGCUCAUCAGCAUGUGAAGGAGACGCCUCCCUGGGAGCGAGAAGUGACCUUGGAAGUUAUCUACUCCAGUACCUCCUCAGACAUCAGAGGGGGUGUGAAUCAGAAUGUGAUCAUGUCAAGAGGAAGCUUUGGAUUCAGACGGUCCUGGCCCAGACCCUGCAUUUCUUACAUGCCCCCCAGCGAUGCUGAUGCCGCUGAUCCCUGAACCAUACGUUAAGUGAAAAGAUUCGAGGCCAGCCAUUCUCAGCCCCUGCUCUACGUUACUUUCACUUGGUGAGCUUUUGAAAAAGAAGAUAGUCUGGGCUUCACUCCCAGAUAUUAUCAUUUAAUUGGUCAGGAUACAGCCAGGCUUCAUUUGGCUAAAAUCUCUUCAGGUGAUUCUACUGAAGAAUAUAGCAACUACUGAAAACUAUAGCUGUGCUCAAAUAUCGUGUUACAUCUUUCUCAUUGACACUUCUCAGAAAGAGGGGCGCCUGGGUGGCUCAGUCAUUAAGCCUCUGCCCUCAGCUCAGGUCAUGAUCCUGGGGUCCUGGGAUGGAGCCCCGCAUAGGGCUUCCUGCUCAGCAGAAAGCCUGCUUCUCCCUUUCCGUCUCCCCUGGGUUAUGUUCCCUCUUGCUGUCUCUCUCUGUCAAAUAAAUGAAGAAAAUCUUAAAAAGAAAGGAAGGAAGGAAGGAAGGCAGGAAGGAAGGAAGGAAGGAAGGAUCUCAUAGAAAGAAAUCCUACCUUCACUGCCCUACCUGUCCCUCCAGUUGACCUGGGAUUGAACUUCCUAUUGUGAGAACAUUAAUUCCUGUAAUAUAAUAAGAAACAGUAUCAUUGAGCACAUUGAGUAUAUACUAUUGAUAGACAACAUUGUAAUUACGUUACACUUAAAUCUUACUGUUUCUCAUGAGAUAGACACUAUUAUCACCAUCCUUAUCUUUUUUAUAGAUGUGAAAACUGAAGCACAGAGAGGUAAAGUAACUUGCUGCAGGUCACACAGCUAGUGAGCGGCAGAACCAAGAUUGGAAUUCAGGAAGUCUGGGUCCAGAGCCAGAUCUCUUAACCAUUACAUCGUUCAACCUCCCUCUGCAGUGCCAUGGCUAGCAGCAGUGCUGGGCAAAGAUGAAGGAAAUAUGCUCUUUUCAAUUACGAACUUUUUUACUGAUAUGCUAAUUUUUAGUCUUUCUGUUGUUUUAUAAAAGUGCACAUUUAAAAAAAGAGAUUUAUCUAUUCAUUUGAAAGACAGAGAUAAUGUACAUGUGAGGUGGAGAGGGGCAGAGGGAGAAGGAGAGGGAAAGGAUCUUCAAGCAGACUCCCUACGGAGUGUGGAGCCUGAUAUGGGGCUCGAUCCCAUGACCCUGAGACCACAACCUGAACCAAAACCGAGAGCCAGGGGCCUCACCAACUGAGCCACCCCAGCAUUGCUUUUAUGGAUCAAGUUCAUUUCACUUUCAUAGUCAC
rnacentral:lncRNA from 1 species